UUGCCUGGGGGCAGCAGUGGGGAAUAUUGGACAAUGGGCGCAAGCCUGAUCCAGCCAUGCCGCGUGAGUGAUGAAGGCCCUAGGGUUGUAAAGCUCUUUCACCGAUGAAGAUAAUGACGGUAGUCGGAGAAGAAGCCCCGGCUAACUUCGUGCCAGCAGCCGCGGUAAUACGAAGGGGGCUAGCGUUGUUCGGAAUUACUGGGCGUAAAGCGCACGUAGGCGGAUAUUUAAGUCAGGGGUGAAAUCCCAGAGCUCAACUCUGGAACUGCCUUUGAUACUGGGUAUCUCGAGUAUGGAAGAGGUGAGUGGAAUUCCGAGUGUAGAGGUGAAAUUCGUAGAUAUUCGGAGGAACACCAGUGGCGAAGGCGGCUCACUGGUCCAUUACUGACGCUGAGGUGCGAAAGCGUGGGGAGCAAACAGGAUUAGAUACCCGAGUAGUCAG
rnacentral:rRNA from 1 species